UAAUACGGGGGGGGCAAGCGUUGUUCGGAAUUACUGGGCGUAAAGGGUUUGUAGGUGGCCUGCUAAGUCAGACGUGAAAUCCCUCAGCUUAACUGGGGAACUGCGUCUGAGACUGGUAGGCUCGAGGACAGGAGAGGAACGCGGAAUUCCAGGUGUAGCGGUGAAAUGCGUAGAUAUCUGGAGGAACACCGGUGGCGAAGGCGGCGUUCUGGACUGUUUCUGACACUGAAAAACGAAAGCCAGGGGAGCAAACGGGAUUAGAUACCCCGGUAGUCCUGGCCCUAAACGAUGAAUGCUUGGUGUGACGGGUAUCGAUCCCUGUCGUGCCGAAGUUAACGCGAUAAGCAUUCCGCCUGGGGAGUACGGUCGCAAGGCU
rnacentral:rRNA from 1 species